rnacentral:lncRNA from 1 species
UGACUGCCCCUACAGCUCCACUCACUGGCCCAGAACUCUGCUCUGAGCAGCUCCUCAGCUCUUUGUGAAUGUUCAGACCUCCUCCAGCUCUUCCUGGCUCACACUGAGCCUCUGACGUUUCUUCACAAGCCUCACAAGCCCAGGGGGCCCCAGGGUCCUCUUCUCACCCCGCUCUCUGAGCCUGAUGCCUGUGGCCCCUGACUCCUUCUGCCUCCCUUGCCAGCCAUGUGCAAAGCCACCCCAAAGGCUACUGAUUUCCCUGCCUAGCUCAUGGGACAUGAAUUUCUCCCUUGUCUCAGCCACCGGCAUCCCAGGCCAGGACUCCUCAUGGCCUCACUUUUCCACUUCUGCCUGCCCUGCCCCUCGAAUCUGCUCCACGAUUUGGGCAGGACAGGCAGAAGUGGAUAAGUGAGGACACUUCUCACUCAUGGGGAGAACACGACUGUGUUGCCCCACGUUGAAGCUGUGUGAUGGCUCUGCUCUUUUCUCAGGGUAGGGGCCGUCACCUUCAACACCUUUCGGGCCCUGCCAACCAUCCCAGCCCCACUCUGCCCCACUGUCCACUCACAUGCUCCUCAUUCAUUCAGUCAGUCAACAAAUGUCUUUUAAGCACCUGCUUUCCUUCAAGAACAACUGUGGGUAUAACAGUGAAGAAAAUAUACAAAAAUUCCUGCCUUCAUGGAGCUUACAUUUGAGAGAUAAGAAGCAGAUGGCAGCAAGAUAAUAAGUAGCACAUCCGUGGGUUAAAUGGAGGUCACAGUGCUCCCUGGAACCCCAUACUUACUCUGAAGACAGCACCCCACCAUGUACCCCUUCCUUCUGCCAUGGCCACAUGAGCCUGCAAGAGCUGCCAGGCUGACAUGGGGCCUUCUCGCCACAGUGACUGAUCCAGGGAUGGGAAGAGAUGUAGCCUUGGCGUUGGAGUCCUUCCUUGGAAGU